UCCCCACACCGGUGAGAAUGCCCUUAACAUCAAUUUAGAUCAAGAGGAGCAGGCAUUAAGCACACUAUUUAGUAGCUCAAGAUGCCUUGCUUACCCACACCCCCAAGGGAAACAGCAGUGAUAGAAAUUUAGCAAUGAACGCAAGUUUGACUAAGUUAUGCUACUCUAGGGUUGGUAAAUUUCGUGCCAGCCACCGCGGUCAUACGAUUAACCCAAACUAAUAAAUUCCCGGCGUAAAGCGUGAUUAGAAUCAAAAAACAGAAAAAAUAAAAUCAAAUAACAACUAAGCUGUAAAAAGUAAUAGUUACAAACAAAAAUAAACAACGAAAGUGAUUUUAUAACCUUCGAACUCACGAUAGCUAAGACCCAAACUGGGAUUAGAUACCCCACUAUGCUUAGCCCUAAACUUAAAUAAUUCCAUAACAAAAUUACUCGCCAGAGAACUACAAGCCAGAGCUUAAAACUCAAAGGACUUGGCGGUGCUUUAUACCCACCUAGAGGAGCCUGUUCUAUAAUCGAUAAACCCCGAUAAACCUUACCACUCUUUGCCAACUCAGCCUAUAUACCGCCAUCUUCAGCGAACCCUAAAAAGGAACAAAAGUAAGCUCAAUUAUCCCCAUAAAAACGUUAGGUCAAGGUGUAGCCUAUAGAGUGGAAAGUAAUGGGCUACAUUUUCUACUUCAGAACAUACGAAAGCCCUUAUGAAACUCUAAGAGCCAAAGGAGGAUUU
rnacentral:rRNA from 1 species